rnacentral:rRNA from 1 species
GUGUCAGCAGCCGCGGUAAGACAGAGGGUGCAAACGUUGUUCGGAAUUACUGGGCGUAAAGCGUGUGUAGGCUGCCCCGCAAGUCGGGUGUGAAAGCCCCGGGCUCAACCUGGGAAGUGCACUCGAAACUGCGGGGCUGGAGUCCUGGAGAGGAAGGCGGAAUUCUCGGUGUAGAGGUGAAAUUCGUAGAUAUCGAGAGGAACACCGGUGGCGAAGGCGGCCUUCUGGACAGUGACUGACGCUGAGACACGAAAGCGUGGGGAGCAAACAGGAUUAGAUACCCUGGUAGUCCACGCCGUAAACGAUGGGUGCUAGGUGUCGCGGGCUUUGACCCCUGCGGUGCCGUAGCUAACGCAUUAAGCACCCCGCCUGGGGAGUACGGCCGCAAGGCUAAA